AUUGAACGCUGGCGGCAGGCCUAACACAUGCAAGUCGAGCGGAUGACGGGAGCUUGCUUCUUGAUUCAGCGGCGGACGGGUGAGUAAUGCCUAGGAAUCUGCCUGGUAGUGGGGGACAACGUUUCGAAAGGAACGCUAAUACCGCAUACGUCCUACGAGAGAAAGCAGGGGACCUUCGGGCCUUGCGCUAUCAGAUGAGCCUAGGUCGGAUUAGCUAGUUGGUGAGGUAUGGCUCACCAAGGCGACGAUCCGUAACUGGUCUGAGAGGAUGAUCAGUCACACUGGAACUGAGACACGGUCCAGACUCCUACGGGAGGCAGCAGUGGGGAAUAUUGGACAAUGGGCGAAAGCCUGAUCCAGCCAUGCCGCGUGUGUGAAGAAGGUCUUCGGAUUGUAAAGCACUUUAAGUUGGGAGGAAGGGCAGUAAGUUAAUACCUUGCUGUUUUGACGUUACCGACAGAAUAAGCACCGGCUAACUCUGUGCCAGCAGCCGCCGUAA
rnacentral:rRNA from 1 species